ACCCGCACAAGCGGUGGAUGAUGUGGUUUAAUUCGAUGCAACGCGAAAACCUUACCCACCUUUGACAUGUACGGAAUCCUUUAGAGAUAGAGGAGUGCUCGAAAGAGAGCCGUAACACAGGUGCUGCAUGGCUGUCGUCAGCUCGUGUCGUGAGAUGUUGGGUUAAGUCCCGCAACGAGCGCAACCCUUGUCAUUAGUUGCUACAUUCAGUUGGGCACUCUAAUGAGACUGCCGGUGACAAACCGGAGGAAGGUGGGGAUGACGUCAAGUCCUCAUGGCCCUUAUAGGUGGGGCUACACACGUCAUACAAUGGAUGGUACAAAGGGUCGCCAACCCGCGAGGGGGAGCCAAUCCCAUAAAGCCAUUCGUAGUCCGGAUCGCAGUCUGCAACUCGACUGCGUGAAGUCGGAAUCGCUAGUAAUCGUGGAUCAGAAUGUCACGGUGAAUACGUUCCCGGGUCUU
rnacentral:rRNA from 1 species